AUUGAACGCUGGCGGCAGGCCUAACACAUGCAAGUCGAGCGGAGCGGCGGACGGGGGAGGAAUGCCUAGGAAUCUGCCUGGUAGCGGUGGAUAACGUCCGGAAACGGGCGCUAAUACCGCAUACGAUGAGAGCAGCAGAGGGCUGUUUAGCUAGUUGGUGGGGUAAAGGACUACCAAGGCGACGAUCCGUGACUGGUCUGAGAGGAUGAUCAGUAACACGGGAAAUGAGACACGGUCCCGCAUCCUAAGUGAGGCAGCAGUGGGGAAUAUUGGACAAGGGGCGAAAGCCGGAUCCAGCCAUGCCGCGUGAGUGAAGAAGGUCUUCGGAGUGUAAAGCACUUUAAGUUGGGAGGCGUUACCAACAGAAUAAGCACCGGCUAACUUCGUGCCAGCAGCCGCGGUAAUUC
rnacentral:rRNA from 1 species